rnacentral:rRNA from 1 species
AGAACGAACGCUGGCGGCAUGCCUAACACAUGCAAGUCGAACGAGAUCUUCGGAUCUAGUGGCGCACGGGUGCGUAACGCGUGGGAAUCUGCCUUUCGGUACGGAAUAACUCAUGGAAACGUGUGCUAAUACCGUAUGAUGUCGCGAGACCAAAGAUUUAUCGCCGAGAGAUGAGCCCGCGUAGGAUUAGCUAGUUGGUGGGGUAAAGGCCUACCAAGGCGACGAUCCUUAGCUGGUCUGAGAGGAUGAUCAGCCACACUGGGACUGAGACACGGCCCCAGACUCCUACGGGAGGCAGCAGUGGGGAAUAUUGGACAAUGGGCGCAAGCCUGAUCCAGCAAUGCCGCGUGAGUGAUGAAGGCCUUAGGGUUGUAAAGCUCUUUUACCCGGGAAGAUAAUGACUGUACCGGGAGAAUAAGCCCCGGCUAACUCCGCGCCAGCAGCCGC